ACCUGAAAGGACACCAAAUGCAGCUAAAGUUGCCAGUUUGCCAACGAGCAAUUGCAAUCGGAUCGGAAUCGGAAUCGGUUCGGAAUCAGAAGUGGUUUUCGAAUUGGAAUAUCAGUGGAUCAGUGGAUCAGUGUAUUUUGUUUUGGUUUUUUUUUUUAUUUAUAAAGGGGGAUUCGGUGUGAUCGCGCCGCUCUUGUUGUCUGUCGUUAUUUAUGGUUGUAUCGCUGCUAAUCGAAGCUUGAUUACGAUUGCUCAAGUGCUGGCCAGUCGCCCUAGUUGUUGUCUAUAUGUGCACGAUAGGAGAGAGCAGAGAUACCGGACUAUACACGGCUCCAUGCCCUCCGCCCAAAGUGGCGGGUCUUAUGCGUUUAAAGACAGUCCAUCUACCAUAUGUGUGUGUGUUACCCAAGUUACCCAAAUUCCUAUAAAGUAUCAUCAUGGCAACCAUGUCUAUUAUUAGAGGAUAGUUGGAGCCCUUAUGGAGUGGAGUGGAGUGGAGUACAGCACCGCCUGGUUCGUUGAUUCCCUGGGCGAAUUCCUUGGCCAAGACCACGAGCACAGCCCGUAUCAGAAGUGGCCUCCUUAGCCGAUGAUCGUCAUCGCCGGAUCGCUUGUGGAGUUGCCAUUGCCAGUUUGGCGACGUCAUCGGACCCCGAGGCUUACACCUAUUGACACUUCUAAUCAUAUCUGUAUCGCCGGGUACAGAACAGGGCAUUACCGCUAAUUUUCCACGAUUUCUCGCGUUGCAAAGUAGUCCGCUACCGAUUAGCGACCGUCGCAGACGUUGCCCUCCCAGCAGUUCAGGUCCCCACCAUCUUGCUGCUCUUAUCUGCGAAAAUAUAGUGUGUGCGAAUGUCUGGGGAUCACGGAGGGAUCAGGGCUAUGCCUGGUUUGGGGGGGUGGGCUGCUGUGUGCUGUGGGUGUUGUGUCAACCGACAACUCGCCAUGUGGAUCGACCGCACUUGGCUGCCAAUUAGCGAUCGCGAAUGCAAAAUACAGCGGGUUGACAAGCCCGAGUAUCGAGUACCCAAAAAAAAAAAAAUCAUUAGGUGUCAAACGUUUGGCGAGAACUCUACUCAUUAUUGCCAAUGAUUAGAGUUCUAGGAGAAGCGGACAUGCCAUAAAGAUAAAUGCUGCGAAGUUUUAGUCACCCAAAUACUCUGUCAUACUUGGUGACUACUUUUCUUUUAGAAUGUACUUGCUGUUUCACCUGAUAAACUGUUGGUUGCAACUCUUAAGCCAUCAUAAAGAUAUGCGAUGGUGAUUGGUUGCUAAUUGGCCAUUGAUGGUGAAAGUUCUUACAAUAUCAUAAAGAUAAACGCUUUGGGGGCCGCCUAAGGCACUUAAGUCAUCAUCAUCAUCAUCGGUGGUGGUGCAGAUUUGCGGUUCUUACAAUAUCAUAAAGAUAAAGCUGGCUGCGUGUUCGCCCUAAUGAGUUCAUGUUGGGGUAGUUCCUGUGGACUUUACGCGCGUGGAAUCCCCCGCCAAUUCACGUGAAUCAACUAAUCGAGCUUCUUGCUUUUAGCUUCUUGCUACAUGGUUCUCUUCAGUAGUUUAGUUUGGUUUUCUUUCGGUGAGUUCUAUUUUCAACGCUGAUUUCGUAUCGCCGCGUAUCGGUAAAAGUCUUCUCAUUACACGCUUGAUUACUUUGGGACAAUUCGAAUUGUUUAUUCCCGUUGUUCAAGUCAAGUGAUCGCUGAUAACGAUUCUACGCUGCGUUUUGCUCUUCUGCAGCAACAGUUUUAAUUAUUACUAUCGUUCUCACUGUAUAAUUUCUAUUAAAUUAUCUAUGGAGUAGUCUUGUUUUUGUUUUGGGUCAUGAUGGCAGCCACUACAAAGCCACUACAAACAACAACGGCGACUACAGUAAUUUGUUAACAAUAAAAAAUAAAAUCGUCUAUUGGACUCGUUCCUCGAGCACUGACUGCCUGGCGAUGACGCCGUUCAAUGGAAGUCUUUUCAUUUAUUGUGUUUCCUUUUUUAUGUAUUUAUUUAUUCCGAACAAACAUUUCGAUGACGCUGUGUGUUCCCAAACGAUAUUUUUAACGCUUUUUUUUUUGGGCUUGCCCCCGGAAUUCUUUUGGAGUGGAAAAUUCUGCCAAUAAGUUGGCGGAAAUUACUGAUAAUCGGGUUAACAGUAAAUUAGGUUCGUUACUUUAUGAAAUAUCAAUUAUUGAAAGGGGUUAUUAUACUCCCGAUCAAAUUACACUAGAGAGAUCACUUUCUCAUAACUUCAAAACUUCAGAGGCCUGUGGAAAUUUCGCAGAAACCCACCUACACACUACCGUCGUAAACCCAUAAAAUGGAGCCACUCUUUAUCAAACCAAACCCAAGUGAAACCCAAAUAAAAGCCUGAUAAACAUUCGAUGAUCAUGUAAAUGAAUUAAGUCAAUGUUUGACGUCAAGUGGUGUAGACAACAGAACAUUUAAUAUGCCAAUAAAGGCAUUUACUAAUUGAUAGCCCACAUACUCCAGUUCAUGGUGAUCGGUGGGUAUUUCUGGGGAAAUCGUCAAAGGAUAGCUAAAUCACUAUACUACGUUGAUCAGUUGAUCCUCACGUGCAUCCCCAGAAACUCAGAGCGGAGAACUGGGAACUGAGUACUGAGAAUUGAAAAGGCCGUGUUACGUGCAGAAUUGGCGGGGAAAUCGUAUGGACUACGGUCGUAUAUUAUGUGGAACAAAAUUAAUAAAUAACAAAAUAUUUACAUAUACCGACGCUAAAUAGUCGUAUAAUCAAUAAUAAAUAGCAGCAACUGCAAAAUGAACACGUUUAGUAAAUAAUCGCAAAAGUCGUCAAGCGUCAAAAGCCGUGCUGUGCUUUUCUUUCGUUUUUUUUUCUUUUUUUUUUAUAUAUUUUUCAAUUUUCAAUUCACCGCUGAGAAAGAGGAAAAGGGAACAAGAAUCGCAAGCAUUGUGUCCGGAGUCUGAAAAAUCUGGGUGGAAAUACCAGGCGGGCCUGAUGAGCCUAUUGGGUGCUAAUGAUGACAUUGUUUUACAAGCCGGCUCCGUAAAGAUGAUUAAUUGAAUUGCGAUCUAUCAAUGUCUCGUUUCCUCCGGCGGUCGCGUCAUCGUCAUCGUCUUAGUUGGUGCCUCUGGUUUUCCUUCUUGUGAUAAGACUAAAACUACGUCAGUGCCCCCAGUUAUACACGGCAAUUAAGAACGACAGUCAUGCGUCCUUAACUGGAUAAAAGAUGGCAUAGGGUUCCUAACUUUUAUCAUGGAAAUCGAAAAUUAUUUCGAAUCCUCUUGAUGUUUGUAAAUGUUGGAAAAUUGUUUCGGUUUUUAGACGUUACAUUUAAUUUUGGUAAUAUUUCACUGAUAAUUGUAUCGAAUUGUAUCAUUUGCAAUUAUUCUUCCAUUAUGGAAGAUCGACUGUAAGUCUGUCUGUCACAUGUAUUGCUGAUUGGCCACUAUCAAGCCACCGUUAAACUGAGUUACCAACUAACUAACUGCGCUGAUUGACGAACCGAGGGGAUCUACGAGUAUAGUUUGGGCCAUAUUUGCUUAUAACCAAAUGCCCCAUGAUGGAUGAUGUUGGCCUAAGUGCAAUCGCAAGACUUCUUGAGCCCGCUGCCAAUCGACUGAUCGAUAACAGAUAACUGGUUGCCGUUAUUUGCGCUUACGGCUAACGGUACAUUCGUAGCGGGUGUAUGUGAACGUUUUUUGCAUAUGAUACCGUUUCGUAGGUGCGGCACUGAUUGAUUUACCGGAUUUUGUCAAAACACUCGAAAAAAAAACCCACUCGAUCCACCAUAUUUUCAUACUUCCAUAUAUAUUCUUUUAUGCAAUGUAUUUAAACAACAUUUGUGAAAUAAAUGUUGUUAAGAGUUUUUUUGUGAUGAACACAGUUCUGAAAUUGGACUCUGGUUUGGGAUAUGGAUUCAAACUUCAGGAAGAGAUGAACGUGAAUUCUUUGCGCGAGUGUAGACAGCGCGUCUGAAGUGGAGCGCACAUGCGAAUCCGAUCGUUCAGAUUGGGCCCAGAAGAACUCUAACCUGUGCACUAUAUGUAAUCGAUUCGAUGCGAUUUGAUUCCGGGCGUGCAAUGGAUCGCGCUCCUGCUUUCCUCUUCGUGGCCCACUCAGAUAACGCCGUGCAAGGUGACCACGAGAACAAAACCAAAAAAAAAAUUAAGACAACCACACGGAUCGAAAAUCGAAGAGAUUUGGAGGGGAUGGCGAUAAUGUGUGUUGUUUACCAGUGCACUGAUUUCCAAUUCAAUUCCUUCUGGUAUUCCUUGUACAUAUAUUUUUUUUUUGGGAAUUUUGCCGUUUUCCGUUCCGAUUCUUUUAAGUUUUAUACUUCACUUUUGGGAUACCCACGAUCAAAAAUUGUUGCAAAAAAAUAAACACUCGCAGGAACCGUUGGCUUUCGCCUUUCGCUGACUUGUGGGUAGUUUCUUCUUUUAAUUUUUUUUUUUUAAACGAAAUAGAAGGGAAUCGCGGAACACUGGAAGACUGAGCGAUCGCGUCGCAGGACCGUUACCGUUAAGCGGUGCACGCUGAAUUGAGGCGCUGCCACUGCGAGGUUGACACUUUUUGUUAACGGUGACGAUCGGCGGCGGUGACGUCGCUCCGUCGCUUCUCGAUUCCCGUAACCGUUCUGAUUUAAAUGGAACGCUGCUCCAAGCUCACGUCGGUUUCCAGUCUCUGUCGGCGUAGGCGUAGGCGCCGACGUCGCUGCCCGCUAACCGCUAUUUCUGUUUCGGUUUCUUUUUCGCUUUUCCGUUUCGUUUUCGACAAUUUCCAGCCGAGCUUUAAAGUCGUCUUCUCUCUUCCCGUUUUCCUGAUUUCCCGCCAGGAUUGAGAGAAACCGUUAUUGCAUAUAAAUAGAACGGCAGGAACUUCACCGUUACGUUACUUCACUUCGGCGAAGUUUAACAAAAUAAGAAGUUCAAAACGAGCUCUCCGAGUGCGAAACUUAAAUUAGGAAAAAAAUCAGAGCGGAAAAGCUCAAAGCCGCACGGCAAACGAACGCGGCAUUAAUAAAAUUCAACCAGCUCCUUUAACUGCCGAUCGAUCGCGCAGAAAGGAUCUUGUGGCCCACUGUGCAUGUGGAAUACCGGGAAUACCUGCAAAUGGACUAGGGAGUCGUCGAAUCGAAGGGAACUCAAGAUGUGAGAGCCAUUCUCCCCAGAUCGAUUCGGAUUUGGCGAGUGCGAAAGAGCGGAGAAAGCUCAAGAGAGCGCGGAGAUGGAGAUAGCCGGUGCCCGGGGCUUCGGAUCGUCGGGGACAAUGAUAGUGUUGAUAACAAGUGCUUUGCUCUGGAUAUGGGAAUGGGAAUCUUCUCCGACACCGAAAGCCGUGCACUGCAGGAAAUUCCAUUUGGAAGUUUUCAGAUCCUUUCUUAUAUGAUUACCUACCUUACAGGAUUUAAGGGUUUUUGAGCUUUUGAUACAAUCAUAAUGUUAAAAAAUAUAUGUAUUAAAUAUUUUAUAUCUUUCAACUACGUUUUUAGGCCCACUGUGCGCCUGCGCAGCUUCACGCUCGUAAAAAGCACAACUCACGAUCAUCGGAGAUCUACGGGUUCCACAGUAAAAUGUAGAGCAAUACUGACCAUGACACUUAGGAUUUUGUACCAUGAAAUGACGUGUAAAUAAAUUGAUAAAUAAGUUGAAAAGGUUUAAUGAACCAAUAAAGAAUGAUUAUUAUUUAUGAUAUAAAAUAAGAUAUCUAUAUGAUUACAAAUAUAA